rnacentral:rRNA from 1 species
AUGGCAAAAAACUCCACCGCUGUCGUUAACCAUGAUCACAGGAGCCUAUCGGAGACCUCGUCCAGAUGCUUCACGGAGAGCUUGACCGCCACCCACAAUUUCGAGGUAGCCAGUUACCCGCUGCUCGCCGGCAUGGGCGUUGGAAAAUACAUCAGCUCAUGCAUCUUCAGCGUUGGUGGCCACGAUUGGACUAUCAGGUUCUACCCAGAUGGCAAUAAUGCAGAGUGUGCCGGUAAUGCUUCAGCCUUUUUGUAUUGUACCAGCCAACCGAAAGGCGUCAGGACCAAGUUCACCUUGAACAUGUUGGAAAAGGAGGGCAAGGUCCUAGUAACAAGCUUCGGCUCGUUGGAGCAUACCUUCUCUUCGUCAAUUGACGAUUUUGGCUUUUCUAAAUUCGUCGAGAAAUCAAGGCUGCUGAAAUCAUCGUCGGAUGCCACAGGUGGUUACUUCACUAUACGGUGUGUUCUUACCGUGAUAAAAGAACCGCGAACGGAACUCAAGAGGAACCUUUUCGUGGUUCCGCGGCCAAAUCUGCAAGACCAUCUCCAGCAGAUGUGGAAGGAUGGGCAAGGAGCAGAUGUGAAAUUCAGUGUAUCUGGGCAGUUGUUCAGCGCCCACAGAUACUUGUUAGCUGCACGAUCUCCGGUCUUCAAGGCGGAGCUCUUUGGUCCAAUGACUGAGAAGGCAACAGAAAGCAUCACGAUUGACGACAUCGAGCCACCAAUCUUCGAGGCGCUUCUUCACUUUAUAUACACGGAUUCUAUACUAGAUGAUUGGGACAGCAAAGAAGGUAAAACUACAAACAUGCAGCACUUGUUGGUUGCGGCAGAUCGAUACGGGUUGGAGAGGCUAAGAGUUAUCUGCGAAGGAAGGCUGCGUGACAGCAUCGACCUGGAAACGGUGGCAACCACGUUGGUUCUGGCGGAGCAGCACCACUGUAGAGAUCUCAAAGAAGCAUGCAUUGGGUUCAUG